CAAAGAGGGGGACCUUCGGGCCUCUUGCCAUCGGAUGUGCCCAGAUGGGAUUAGCUAGUAGGUGGGGUAACGGCUCACCUAGGCGACGAUCCCUAGCUGGUCUGAGAGGAUGACCAGCCACACUGGAACUGAGACACGGUCCAGACUCCUACGGGAGGCAGCAGUGGGGAAUAUUGCACAAUGGGCGCAAGCCUGAUGCAGCCAUGCCGCGUGUAUGAAGAAGGCCUUCGGGUUGUAAAGUACUUUCAGCGGGGAGGAAGGGAGUAAAGUUAAUACCUUUGCUCAUUGACGUUACCCGCAGAAGAAGCACCGGCUAACUCCGUGCCAGCAGCCGCGGUAAUACGGAGGGUGCAAGCGUUAAUCGGAAUUACUGGGCGUAAAGCGCACGCAGGCGGUUUGUUAAGUCAGAUGUGAAAUCCCCGGGCUCAACCUGGGAACUGCAUCUGAUACUGGCAAGCUUGAGUCUCGUAGAGGGGGGUAGAAUUCCAGGUGUAGCGGUGAAAUGCGUAGAGAUCUGGAGGAAUACCGGUGGCGAAGGCGGCCCCCUGGACGAAGACUGACGCUCAGGUGCGAAAGCGUGGGGAGCAAACAAGAUUAGAUACCCUGGUAGUCCACGCCGUA
rnacentral:rRNA from 1 species